GUGCUUGCAUUUCCUAUCAUGAUUUUCUUGAUAGAGGGUUGCUGCUCACAAGGAAGCUAUUAAACCAAGAGUUCCGAAUGGUGAAGUUGAAAUCAUCCUUUCGUAAAUGUUACAGAUGUCAUCAAGAGUUGGUUGACCGUUAUGAAAUAACCGUUUCACAAAUGAUAUCGUAACUACAAUCCCCUUCCCUUUUAUGAAUGUGACCUACCGAGUUAGACUAGUUACCGGAUUUGUUAUAACAUAAGCAACACGACGGGUGCCACAUGUGGAGCAGGAUCUGCUUACCCUCCGGAGCACCUGAGAUCAUCCCUAGUUUUUUUGUAGGGUUCGUGUUGUUUAUUCUUUAGUUUUGUAUGGUUUGUCAUGUGUUCUAUUGUUUGUCUGUUUGUCAUUCUUAAUAUUUAGCCAGGCGUUGUCAGUUUAUUUUCGAUUUAUGAGUUUGAAUGUCUCUCUGGUAUCUUUCGUCCCUCUUUUACGUAAAUGAGAUUAAAACUUAGAGGUUUAAAUUAAAGUGACAAAGCCCUAUAAUUGAUUAUUCGUUGCCAUGUUGUUUCUUAUGGAUAGUUGUACCAUUGACAUUCAUAUAACAUCAGCUUAUCAUUAUGUCAUAUUAUUUCAUAAUAAAAUAUAAAAAUAAUAUAGGUAGUAUGAAAAUACAAGCUCAGGUUUAUAUGUCAAAACUUGGUAUUCCCUUUUGUCGGGAACCCUCAGUGUGCAACAAUCCCUGUAGGGCUCGAUUUAAAUUUCAAACUUUAACUUUAAAAACCACACAUGCAUGAGCGUAGUUAUGUGAUUGAUUUAAACGAAUGAAAAACAACUGUCAUAUUCCUGACUUAGUACAGGCAUUUUCAAAUGUAGAAAAUGGUAGAUUGAACCUGGUUUUAUAGCGCUUUACCUCUCACAUGUAUGACAGUCGCUACAAAUUUCACUAUAUUUACAACGAGUGAAUAAAACAGACAUGAUAGGUAAAGUUGUCAACGUAGAGGUACAAAAGAUGUAUCUAUAACAUGUAUAAUUUAUGAAAUUUUAAAUUGUCUGAAAAUUAAAAGAAAAAAAAAAGGAAACAAUUUUCCAAUUUGUAUUAUCCCCGGCAAACAAGAAUCAGACCACUUAACAUGCGUCGCUUGUCUGUUUUUUUUUUUUUAUUUUAAAAAUGUAUGUUAAAAUUUUUAAAAAAGUAACUUAAAAUUAAAGAUUUGUCAAUUAAACAAGGUAACAUCUACCAAAUACAUGUUCAGAUGAGCACAUGUCUUUUGUGGAUUUCUUAAUUAUUCAAGGACACACUAACCAAAUACAUGUUCAGAUCAGAAUAUUCACACUUUGUGAUUUCAUAAAUUAUUAAAAGGAAAUCUAACUAAAUACAUGUUCAGAUCAGCACAUCCAAUUUGUGGAUUUCUCAAUUAUUAAAUGGAAAUCUAACUAAAUACAUGUUCAGAUCAACACAUCCACUUUGAUGAAUUCCCUAUUAAUAAAAGGAACACUAAUUAAGUACAUGUUCAAAUCAGCACAUCCACUGUGUGGAUUUCUAAAUUAUUCAGGGAAACACUUUGGUGUCUCUUUUAUUGAGAUGUGUUAAUUAUAUUUUCGAUUAAACGCUAUUCGCCAACAUUUUAUUCGUUUAGGUGGACACAACCUAUCACAAUUAUAUGUAUAAACUAGAUUAAAAGUGUGUAUUACCUAAUCAGUAAAGUUAGGGUUGUGAUAUUAAAUGGUUACAGGAAACGGAAUAUCCAAAAAAACAAGAGAUAGAAUAGAAACAGAUAUUGACUCAAUGGAAAAGUAAGGGUUGUGACAUAUAAUGGUUAUAACGGAAUAUCACUAUAUAACAAUUGUUAUGUCACGAAGCUUAGACAUAACGAUUGAACCAUUCUAAAAAAAAAAUCCAUCUCUAUUCAAGGCAAAGACUCUAUUCCUAAAAAACAUCUAUCUUUGGCCUUUCAACUGUUGUGAUUGGACCGCAAUUUUGUGAUUGGACCGCCACCUUUUGAUUGGAUCGCCACUGAUUAGUCUUCUGUAGACGAAAUGUGUCUGUCUGUUUGUUCGUUCUUUCAUGAAGCUCACCGAAUAGGAACAAUAGGACAAGUGAGCUGUGCAUAUUUUAUGGUUAUAGGAAACAGAAUAUCCCCAAAACAAGAGAUAAACUAGAAACCGAUAUUGACUCAAUAUUAAAGUUAGGAUUGUGACAUUAAAUGGUUAUAGGAAACGGAAUAUCACAAAACAAGAGAUAGAAUAGAAACAGAUAUUUAUAUGUUACGAACAUGUAUCAUUACUCGUAACGAUCUAGCGCCCUCGUUGGAAAGUUCUUUGGCUAAUAUCUAGACGUUUUAUACAUUAUGAAUUGUUUAAUGGUUUAAUGUGAGUGUAAAAUCAUGAUCAACUCUGAAAUUUUUAAAAAUAUACAGAGAGGGAAAGAACGUGUUUCGUUUAUCAUGCACUCCAGCAGCACCUGCAUACGGGGUAUAUAUCUCCCAAUUGAUACGAUAUUCCCGUGCUUGCAUUUCCUAUCAUGAUUUUCUUGAUAGAGGUUGCUGCUCACAAGGAAGAUAUUAAACCAAGAGUUCCAAAUGGUGAAGUUGAAAUCAUCCCUUCGUAAAUUUUACGGACGCCAUCACGAGUUGGUUGAAUGUUAUGGAAUAACCGUUUCACAAAUGAUAUCGGAUAUGUUCCUUACGUCGUAACUACAAACCCCUUCCCUUUCAUGAAUGUGACCUACCGAAUUAGACUAUUUACCGGAUUUGUUAUCACAUAAGCAACACGACGGGUGCCACAUGUGGAGCAGGAUCUGCUUACCCUUCCGGAGCACCUGAUAUCACCCCUAGUUUUUUUUGGUGGGUUCGUGUUGUUUAUUCUUUAGUUUUCUAUGUUGUGUCGUGUAUGCUGUUGUUUGUUUGUCUUUUUCAUUUUUAGCCAUGGCGUUGUCAGUUUGUUUUAGAUUUAUGAGUUUGACUGUCCCUUUGGUAUCUUUCGUCCCUCUUUUACAAGUCAUUAUAUUUUUAAAAGUGUUAAAUUUAUAAGUUAAGCUACAAUGUAUACCAUAGGUGUUUUUGUUGCUGUUGUUAUAUUACUUUAUAUACGUCUAUUGUUUACAUGUGUGUAAUAGUAUAUUAAUUACGUUUAUCCAUAUUGUUAACAUUGUAUGUAGAGAGCCUUAUUAAAAAU
rnacentral:lncRNA from 1 species